rnacentral:tRNA from 1 species
GUCCAGGUGGCGGAACGGUAUAAGCGCUAGUCUCAGGAACUAGUAAAUCUCACGAUUUAUGGAGGUUCAACUCCUACCCUGGACA